AUUCCACUUCCUCCUCACCCGCAUCAAGUAACACAUCACCAGAAACUUAGGAGACUUUAUCAGUGGUUGUUACUUGAUGUAACUGAGCACAGAGAAGGAUCUACUUCAGUAUUAUGGCAGAUAAAGGACCAAUUCUUACCUCAAUCAUCAUUUUCUACUUGUCCAUCGGAGCCGCGAUAUUUCAGAUCCUCGAGGAACCGCAUUUAAAAGCAGCUCUGGACGAUUAUAAAAACCACACUGACCAUUUAUUACAGAAAUAUCCCUGCUUAGAAAAGGAUGAUUUGGAUCUGAUAAUUGAGAUUGUGGCUGCGGCGGCUGGAAGAGGUGUGACUGUAACGGGAGAAAAAAAAAUUAACAACUGGAGUUGGGAGAACGCAGUUAUUUUUGCUGCCACAGUCAUCACUACUAUAGGUUAUGGCAAUGUUGCGCCAAAGACAACUGGAGGCCGUUUAUUCUGUAUCCUGUAUGGGCUCUGUGGCAUUCCUCUUUGCCUCACCUGGAUAAGUGAAUUGGGUACAUUUUUUGGUGGCAGGGCAAAGCGCCUGAGUCAGGUGCUCCUCCACAGAAGCUUCACUGUGAAAAAAGUACAGUUCACCUGCACAGUUGUAUUCCUUUUAUGGGGUUUCCUGGUUCACUUGAUCUUCCCAGCCUUUGUAUUCAGUCACUUUGAGGACUGGACUUACUUAGAAGGCCUGUACUUCUCUUUCACCACCUUGACGACUGUUGGUUUUGGUGACUAUGUAGCAGGUGUGAACCCAGAUAAAGAUUACCCAACACUCUACAAAUUCUUUGUGCAGUUAUGGAUCUGCCUGGGUCUUGCCUGGUUGUCACUUUUCUUCAGCUGGAAUGUGCAUAUGGUGGUCGAGGCUCAUAAAGUCCUGAAGAAAAGAAGGCUGAGACGCCACAGGCUGUCCAUCGAUGAUGUACCGGUAAAAAAAGAAGUAAAAAAAGUCCCAAAGCCAACACCUCUCUCUGGCAUCAUUGACAUCUUUCAGUUCAUGUCUGAGAAGGUUGAAGACUACAGCGAUGUUAUCCAAGCCAUCGGAGCAGAUAAGAGAAGGAAGAAAAAGCAGCAGGAGGAGGAACUGGCACGGUCCAAGAGCUGUAGUGACCUAUUGCACGGCCUGGUCAUCCCACUCGAUCACUCUCCUCGUCUGAAACGCCGCUUCAGCGUCAGCGCGAACAUGUGCAUGGUCACGUCUGGGGAGUCAACGGAUUGCCUCAACAACAACAACCAAGAGGAACAGACCCUACUGAAAGAGCACCAAGGAGACACUAAAAAUAAGAGAGAAGAGAAGCCUGGAUGUUGUGCAGGGAACUCCAGAAGAUCAGACCCAUCAAUCUUUCAGAGCCCUGUUCGAAGCCCUACCCUUACCACCAGCAACGGAGGAUCAAGAUUCUCAGUGUCCAAAGUAUCAGAAGACCAUUUGUUAGAGAGGAGAAAAAGCAUUGCUUGACAAAGAGUUUGAUCUACGAGACCUAAAAAAUUCAGCACUGCUUUAAAUCAUGAUUUUUCAGAUGAGGAGGAGGACACUAUGGCUGAGGUGACACAAGGAGGAGCAUGUGAAGACCUCCGAAGACAUUUCAAGACCAAAGAAUGUUGCACUUUCUCUACCUAAAUCAAGCUGCAAAAGUGUUCAUUGGUUUCCGCAGUAUUGAAAGGCAUUCAGGUAUCACACAGGGUUGUGCAGCCAGUCUGUGACCAAGAUAAGGAUGUGAGGGUUGGCAGAGGAAAUGAAACCGAUUUCCUUCACAGACGUUGGAAAGUUUGGAAUGUCUCUAUCUGCUGUUGCCAAACCACAUCCGGUCUGUUGGCAGAAGUGAUGAAAUUAAACAUGACUGAGCAUGAUGAACAACCAAGUUCUUCUUAGUUUAGUUAAGUCCUUCCAAACUGCAUUGAGAUAUUUCUAAAAACACAUAAAUUCUCCAUAAAGUAUGAAAGCAUACAUUUGAAUGUCAUUAUUAUCAGUUUUUCCAAGCUACCAUACUGACGCCCAUAACAUUAGUAAUGAUUGCAUACAUGUUUGUAAAUUUAGAUUUUAUUAAAUGUAUAGUUUCCAAAGAUUAAAAAUGAACCUGAAUCAGCAUUAACAUAUGCAUGAUGCAGCAUUUGCUUACACAAUAUGAAAACAGAUGACAAAAUCAUAAGUUAAAUUACUCAAAUUUGCAUCAGUUACAUUUAGACAUUGGUUACUUGUAAUUAGAUGCAUUUAGACAGUCUUCAGCAGCCCUACUAUUUGUACAUUUUCAUUUGAAAUAUUUCUGCAAUAUUGCUGGUGUGAUAUAGUCCCUAUAUCCUUUCAUAAAACAGAAUUAGGUUUAUGGUCUUGCGCUUUGGUCCGAUAUUUAUUCUGAAUGUUUCUCUUGCUGCUUUAGCUGUUACCAUGCAGUGCAUAUUUGUAUUUGCAUAUUUGCAAGUCAAGUACAAAGGCUAAACCUCAAUUUGAAUGCUUCUGCAACUGCCAAUAAUACAGUACAGUUGCAGUUAUGCUUUGAUGGGAAUAAACAAUUGGUAUAGAUGGCAGUGCCAAUGGCAGUAGUUCAGUUUUCUAUUGUCAUCAUAAGGCGUCUUUUUCAGUCAGUCUCCGGCCUUCCCAUCCCAACACUGCAAAAAACAGCAGGUCCAUUACUGCUAUCCUGAGGAACACAGUCUUUCUAAGAAGUCAACAGCACCUCCAACAUGGAGGAUUCCUCUACAGUACAAAUUAAGAUGCGGCCACAUUUAACUUUAAAGGGAUAGUUCACC